AUAUUUAACAGACUCGCCAUCCAUUUGCAAGAUUUAUAUCAGGCUGGAAUCAAAAAUUUCACGUUACAAUUGAUUAUUGGAAAACGCUCUAUCGAGGAUUUCCUGGAUUGAAAAGUUAUAAAAAACUUCCAACUGGCGAAAACCAUGUGAUGGCGUUUGAAGACUUUGCUAACUAUGCAGCGAAUAAUUCAAAAGUAAUAAGAAGCGUAGAUGGACAUUUUAUGCCGAUAUCGUCAAUUUGUAAACCUUGCGAAUUGGAUUAUACUUACAUUUUAAAAGCUGAAAGUAUAGGCAAAGAUGAACUGUGGCUGAAAAAAAGAUUAGGGAUGGAAGACAUAGCCAUAUUCAGAGUAGGAGUAGGCCCGGGAAGAAGCACUACUAAAAAUAAUCCUGUGACAAAUAUCAAAUACUAUAUGUCGAAGUUACAGCCAAAUAUUGUCAAACGUUUAUAUGAAGUUUACAAAGAAGAUUUUGACACAUUCGGCUAUUCUUUUAAUUUCACAACGUUAGAAGCUGGAGGAUUUGAAUAAAAAAUAAUGGCAGUUUUCUA